rnacentral:misc_RNA from 1 species
GAAAAUUUUCUUUCAAGAGUUUCUUUUUCUUACAGCCUCUCGGAUUCAGUCAAACUUGUUUUGUUGUCCCUCUCUGUCCUUCGAGAUAGGAGAAGGCGUGUUUUCUUAGGUGUGAGUCUUCUUCUUAGCCUGGUUGGAUAUGUAUAAUUUUGAUUUUGAGGGACGGGUUUAGCAGACUUGGUGAGGGUGACCUAGAGACAAUAUGUUAGGAGGAAGCUGGGGUUAAAAUCGGUUCUUGGUUUUGUUGCUUCCUGGGAUUGGUGUUUUUCCCUACUUGGUGUUUGGCUGAUGAUCUUGGGAGAAAACUCGUCGAAAGGCUUCUAUGGGGAUCAGAACCAGCGUUUACUUGUGGUUGUUGGCUUUCCUAUGGCUAUAAUGAGAUUGAAAGGCCAAUGAUGAAUUUAGAUUUUUU